rnacentral:rRNA from 1 species
UACGUAGGGGGCGAGCGUUGUCCGGAAUCAUUGGGCGUAAAGAGCGUGUAGGCGGCUUGGCAAGUCUUGCGUGAAAUCCUGCGGCUCAACCGCAGACGUGCGCGGGAAACUGCCUGGCUAGAGUCCGGAAGAGGAGAGCGGAAUUCCUGGUGUAGCGGUGGAAUGCGCAGAUAUCAGGAAGAACACCCGUGGCGAAGGCGGCUCUCUGGGACGGUACUGACGCUGAGACGCGAAAGCGUGGGGAG